UCAACGCUAAUCGGAUCAGGGUUAGUCGGGUCCUAAGGCUCAGCCGAACGGUGAUGCCGAUGGCAGAACAGGUUAAUAUUCCUGUACUAGCAUUAAGAGUGACGUGGAGACGGAGGAGUGACAACGCCGCGGACUGACGGAAUAGUCCGUUAAAGGGUGUAGAUGUUGAUUAUCCCAGGCAAAUCCGGGAUAAGAGUCGAACCUGACAGUAUACCAAUUUCCUCGGAAAACGGUAAUAGUGCGUGUAAACAUACUCCCAAGAAAAUCCGCUAAACUUAAUCUUAAUGGUACCCGUACCGCAAACGGACACACGUAGUCGGGUUGAAUAUACUCAGGCGCUUGAGUGAAUCACGGUUAAGGAACUAGGCAAAUUGACCCUGUAACUUCGGGAUAAAGGGUCCCUACCCGGUGACGGGAGGGCGCAGAGAAUAGGUCCAGGCAACUGUUUAACAAAAACACAGGGCUGUGCAAAAUUGAAAGAUCACGUAUACAGCCUGACACCUGCCCGGUGCUGGAAGGUUAAGAGGAGAUGUCAUCGCAAGAGAAGCAUUGAAUUGAAGCCCCAGUAAACGGCGGCCGUAACUAUAACGGUCCUAAGGUAGCGAAAUUCCUUGUCGGGUAAGUUCCGACCUGCACGAAUGGUGUAAUGAUCUGGACACUGUCUCAACCGUGAGCUCAGUGAAAUUGUAGUAUCGGUGAAGAUGCCGAUUACCCGCGAUGGGACGAAAAGACCCCGUGAACCUUUACUAUAGCUUAACAUUGAAUUUGGGUAAUUGAUGUGUAGGAUAGGCCGGAGGCUUUGAAGCAGGUACGCCAGUAUUUGUGGAGCCGCUGUUGAAAUACGGCCCUUUGGUUAUUUGAGUUCUAACUCGCUGAUGCGAGGACACUGUUUGGUGGGUAGUUUGACUGGGGUGGUCGCCUCCAAAAACGUAACGGAGGCUUCUAAAGGUGCCCUCACGCCGAUUGGUAACCGGCGGCAGAGUGUAAUGGCAUAAGGGCGCUUGACUGGGAGACUUACAAGUCGAUCAGGUAGGAAACUAGAGCAUAGUGAUCCGGUGUUUCUGUAUGGAAAGGACAUCGCUCAAAGGAUAAAAGGUACUCCGGGGAUAACAGGCUGAUCCCUCCCA
rnacentral:rRNA from 1 species